GUGCUCAUUUCAGCAGCACAUAAACUAAAAUUGAAAUGAUACAGAGAUUAGAAUGGCCUCUAAACAAGAAUGGCACCCAAAUUCUUGAAACAUUCCAUAUUUUU